AGUUAUAAAAGCAAUAAAAUCCUCCCUGACCUGUGCAGGCCUCUGCUACAGGGGUGAUGGCCGGUCCUGGUGUUUAGGUGAUU
ensembl:snoRNA